rnacentral:rRNA from 1 species
UACGUAGGGAGCGAGCGUUAAUCGGAAUUACUGGGCGUAAAGCGUGCGCAGGCGGUUUGGUAAGACAGAUGUGAAAUUCCCGGGCUUAACCUGGGAACUGCAUUUGUGACUGCCAGGCUAGAGUGCGGCAGAGGGGAGUGGAAUUCCGCGUGUAGCAGUGAAAUGCGUAGAUAUGCGGAGGAACACCGAUGGCGAAGGCAACUCCCUGGGCCUGCACUGACGAUCAUGCACGAAAGAGUGGGGAGCAAACAGG